rnacentral:lncRNA from 1 species
CAGUUGUAUUUUUUUCCAUGUUCAAUUACCUGUCAAUGUUGCUAACUUAAAUAUAGUGUUUUGCUGUAGGUUGGUAUCCAUUCCUGUUGAUUCUGGGGAACUCCGUUUUCAGUACUUCAAACUACGUUGAUGUUUUCUUGCAGUAUGGGAUAACUUUUUAUACAGUUGUUUUGGAAUCGUGACACUAAUACCUGCAGAAACUGUGCACAGCUUUUUGGAAUUGUUAUUCUGGCAUAAAAUUUAAUCGCAUCAUCUGAGAGGUAAGAUUGAAGUUGACAAAAUAAUUGUUAUAUUAUGUUGAUUAUAAAAGAAAUAGGUCGUUAGCUCACUAUAUAUAUUAGUGAACUACUCUGAUGAAUGAUACAAUACAGGUGCUGGCAUGCUAUCCAAGGCAAACUUAGGGCUAAACACUAAUCGAGGAAUUGGCCCACUUUGAGAUGGCCUGGCGCAUUAGUUGCGGUGUUGUAUCUUUGAGGUCCUUCCAUGUUUGUGUAGUGUAAUCUAAUCAAAAUUUUAUAUAUGUUAAUUAAUGAUAUUGAUCAAAAUAAUAAUUUUUUUGUUACUACCGAAUAUUUCUUCUAUUAUUUUAGGAUCCAUGGGUUCCCUCUUUACAGUUCCAGUCUUACCACCUUUGCCAGAUUUCUUGUGUGCUAAAUUUUCAGAUUAUAUUGUUAUUACAGUGCCGGUCCAGUUAUAGAACCGCCUAGCUAUGGAACCGGCUCGGUUAUCGAACCGAUUUUUCUUUGCCGUGUUUCAGCGCCACCGUUGGCCGUAUUAUGAACUAUAUCGA